UCAUGAAUCUCCACAACACGUAGCUUGCUUUCCUGUUUUCAGAACUUGACAAACACCAGGAAGCAGCAACACCAUUUGCAAUGAAGAAUUGAAAAGGGGAUCGUACAUGAAAUCAUGAAUCUCCACAAC
rnacentral:lncRNA from 1 species